rnacentral:rRNA from 1 species
CCCGGGGAAGGAAGUCCGUUUCGGGCGGCGGGGAUGGGCAUGCGGCGCAUUAGGAAGACGGCGGUGUGACGGACCACCGUUCCGACGAUGCGUAGGGGUUCUGAGAGGAAGGCCCCCCACACUGGUACUGAGACACGGACCAGACUCCUACGGAAGGCAGCAG